GAUGAACGCUGGCGGCGUGCCUAAUACAUGCAAGUCGAGCGAACAGAUGAGGAGCUUGCUCCUCUGACGUUAGCGGCGGACGGGUGAGUAACACGUGGAUAACCUACCUAUAAGACUGGGAUAACUUCGGGAAACCGGAGCUAAUACCGGAUAAUAUAUUGAACCGCAUGGUUCAAUUGUGAAAGACGGUUUUGCUGUCACUUAUAGAUGGAUCCGCGCCGCAUUAGCUAGUUGGUAAGGUAACGGGUUACCAAGGGAACGAUGCGUAGCCGACCGGAGAGGGUGAUCGGCCACACGGGAGCUGAGACAGGGUCCAGGCUCCUAAGGGAGGCCGCAGUAUGGAAUCUUCCGCAAUGGGCGAAAGCCUGACGGGGCAACGCCGCGUGAGUGAUGAAGGUCUUCGGAUCGUAAAACUCUGUUAUUAGGGAAGAACAAAUGUGUAAGUAACUAUGCACGUCUUGACGGUACCUAAUCAGAAAGCCACGGCUAACUACGUG
rnacentral:rRNA from 1 species